rnacentral:rRNA from 1 species
UACGUAGGGUGCAAGCGUUGUCCGGAAUUAUUGGGCGUAAAGAGCUCGUAGGCGGUUUGUCGCGUCGAAUGUGAAAACCCGGGGCUCAACUCCGGGCCUGCAUUCGAUACGGGCAGACUAGAGUUCGGUAGGGGAGACUGGAAUUCCUGGUGUAGCGGUGAAAUGCGCAGAUAUCAGGAGGAACACCGGUGGCGAAGGCGGGUCUCCUGGGCCGAUACUGACGCUGAGGAGCGAAAGCGUGGGGAGCGAACAGG